AUUGAACGCUGGCGGCAUGCUUUACACAUGCAAGUCGAGCGGCAGCGCGGGAGCAAUCCUGGCGGCGAGCGGCGAACGGGUGAGUAAUAGAUAGGAACGUGUCCGGGAGUGGGGGAUAACUAGCCGAAAGGUUAGCUAAUACCGCAUAUUCUCUACGGAGGAAAGCAGGGGAUCCGCAAGGACCUUGCGCUCGCGGAGUGGCCUAUCUCCGAUUAGCUAGNGGUGAGGUAAAGGCUUACCAAGGCGACGAUCGGUAGCUGGUCUGAGAGGAUGAUCAGCCACACUGGGACUGAGACACGGCCCAGACUCCUACGGGAGGCAGCAGUGGGGAA
rnacentral:rRNA from 1 species